rnacentral:lncRNA from 10 species
CCGCCACCCCGUCUGGGAGAGACUGUUACAUUUAAAGAAUGCAUCAAAUAGCACAUACCCAGUGGCAGGAGAAAUCGAAGAUGAUUUGGAGGUUUCAAACCAGGGAGAUAUACGGCCACUCAGGAAAAGCAGGAAGAAAAUGUGGAGCUUGAGAUUUCAGCAGGUAUGUUGUGAGCAGAGAUGACCCAACAGCAGCAACAUGUCUCUAAAACAGGUGGUAUCGCCACUGCAUAUUUCUCGUGCAACUCUGCGCAUAUGCAGAAUCAAGGAUUUGGUGUUUUUCUUCUUCAAGAAGAAACAUGACAUAGGUUCUUUCAUCUGACAAACAUUUAUUGGGUACCUACUGAGGGCCAUACACUGUUCCAGGCAGUGGUAAAGUAGUGAAAAAGCUAUGCUCAUGAAGACAGA